GCCGGUUUAGCUCAGUUGGUAGAGCACCCGCCUUGUAAGCGGUAGGUCGUCAGUUCAAGUCCGACAACCGGCACCA
rnacentral:tRNA from 1 species